UACAGAGGUCUCAAGCGUUGUUCGGAUUCAUUGGGCGUAAAGGGUGUGUAGGUGGCGCCGUAAGUCGGGUGUGAAAUUUCGGAGCUUAACUCCGAAACUGCAUUCGAUACUGCGGUGCUUGAGGACUGGAGAGGAGACUGGAAUUCAUGGUGUAGCAGUGAAAUGCGUAGAGAUCAUGAGGAAGACCAGUGGCGAAGGCGGGUCUCUGGGCCAAUACUGACGCUCAUGCACGAAAGCGUGGGGAGCAAACAGG
rnacentral:rRNA from 1 species